UAUUUCUUAUCUCUUUUAGCAUUUAUUUUGACAAAUGUAUUCUUACUUUUAUUGUAUUUUUUUCGGUCUUUGUAAUACGGAAGGAUUGAUACGGUAGUGAGUAAAUUAGUCCAUGUCAUUUAUAUACUUUUACUACGUUAAAUGUUCUCUUUGAGACGUAGGAUUCCUAAAAAUACACUUGCAUAUGUUCAUACCAAAAAAACACUUGCACAUGUAGUUUCAUUUCAGCAUAUUUGUAAAAGCAAAAGGAAUCAAAAUCAUUUAAAACAAAACAUCGUUAUCUUUUGUAAAUGGAGAUUUGAGAGGUUUUUUUCCUUCUUUGAAUCCAAUUUCGCAACUAGGUGGUGCACCCAUUGCAGCACUUAUAACCACGUUAGCGGUUUUAUAAUCACGCGACUUAAUGAUCGUUAGAGCUUCCUUUAAGGAAUUUGUAGCAUCCGAAUAAAGUUCGAGGCAAUCACGUAAUGGUUUCUCACUAUACAUUUCAAAUCUAUUCUCCUUGAGAAUCUUGUCCACAAUUCCUUUCAUGCUUGUUGUUUUCGACACUGCGUUUUUCGUGGAUAACAUGACCAACCUGUCAAGACUACGUGCAGUUUUGCUCUGUGGAUUCUCUUCGAGAGACUUGACACAGAAGUUGUAAUGAAUCUUCGGGUUUUUAUCUGCAGCUUUCUUGCAAAAAUCUUGGAUCAAAGAUUGUGCAAUUGUGAAAGCGUUUAAGAGCAGAAAGAACAUAGCAAAAUAGAACAAGAACGUCAUAUUUUUUUAGGGAGUAUAGAAAAUUUGACGAAGAGGUUUUCACUUUCUUACUCAAUUUAUAUUUAAAAAAACUAAUAAUGUUUAAGGUUUUUUUACCAGAUAAGACUUGGUAUCUAACACAACGGC
rnacentral:sRNA from 1 species